rnacentral:rRNA from 1 species
AACGAACGCUGGCGGCAUGCCUAACACAUGCAAGUCGAACGAGACCUUCGGUCUAGUGGCGCACGGGUGCGUAACGCGUGGGAAUCUGCCCUUGGGUUCGGAAUAACAGUUAGAAAUGACUGCUAAUACCGGAUAAUGUCUUCGGACCAAAGAUUUAUCGCCCAGGGAUGAGCCCGCGUAGGAUUAGCUAGUUGGUGAGGUAAAGGCUCACCAAGGCGACGAUCCUUAGCUGGUCUGAGAGGAUGAUCAGCCACACUGGGACUGAGACACGGCCCAGACUCCUACGGGAGGCAGCAGUGGGGAAUAUUGGACAAUGGCGAAAGACCUGAUCCAGCAAUAGCCGCCGUGAGUGAUGAAGG